UCUCUGCACCUAUCCUUUUUUGUUUAAUUUGAACUUUCUGAACUUUUAUUUUUUUGUUUU
rnacentral:tRNA from 1 species